AUGCAAGCAGUGGGUAAAGUGGUGGUGGAUGCCGCAGCGCAGGAGCUGAAAAGGAGGCAGCCGACCAUGUCCAGUGUGAGUGCAUGGCUCAACGCUUGCACCGGGGGCUGGGUUGGUUCCUCCAAGGAACAACAGAUUGAGGCGGCAGCAAAAAAGCUGCACGAGGAGCACGAGGAGCACAAGCGUUGGACGGUGUACCUCCACAACUCCCCUAAAGAUGAGUAUCUCUGGGUGUCCAGCAUCAAGUACAAGUUCUCCGGCCAGCCAGAUGUAUCGGAUGAAGAGUGGUGCAGGUUCCAAGAUGAACUCAAGAAGAAGGCCGGCAAAGAAAACAAGUGA
rnacentral:rRNA from 1 species